UACGGGGGGAGCAAGCGUUGUUCGGAUUUACUGGGCGUAAAGGGCGCGUAGGCGGCGUGACAAGUCACUUGUGAAAUCUCCGGGCUUAACUCGGAACGGUCAAGUGAUACUGUCGGACUAGAGUACAGAAGGGGCAACUGGAAUUCUCGGUGUAGCGGUGAAAUGCGCAGAUAUCAGGAGGAACACCAAUUGCGAAGGCAGCUCGCUGGGACGUUACUGACGCUGAGACGCGAAAGCGUGGGGAGCAAACAGG
rnacentral:rRNA from 1 species